CUAUCACUUCUGGAUGGACCUGCGGUGCAUUAGCUUGUUGGUGGGGUAAUGGCCUACCAAGGCGAUGAUGCAUAGCCGAGUUGAGAGACUGAUCGGCCACAAUGGGACUGAGACACGGCCCAUACUCCUACGGGAGGCAGCAGUAGGGAAUCUUCCACAAUGGGCGCAAGCCUGAUGGAGCAACACCGCGUGAGUGAAGAAGGGUUUCGGCUCGUAAAGCUCUGUUGUUAAAGAAGAACACGUAUGAGAGUAACUGUUCAUACGUUGACGGUAUUUAACCAGAAAGUCACGGCUAACUACGUGCCAGCAGCCGCGGUAAUACGUAGGUGGCAAGCGUUAUCCGGAUUUAUUGGGCGUAAAGAGAGUGCAGGCGGUUUUCUAAGUCUGAUGUGAAAGCCUUCGGCUUAACCGGAGAAGUGCAUCGGAAACUGGAUAACUUGAGUGCAGAAGAGGGUAGUGGAACUCCAUGUGUAGCGGUGGAAUGCGUAGAUAUAUGGAAGAACACCAGUGGCGAAGGCGGCUACCUGGUCUGCAACUGACGCUGAGACUCGAAAGCAUGGGUAGCGAACAGGAUUAGAUACCCUGGUAGUCCAUGCCGUAAACGAUGAGUGCUAGGUGUUGGAGGGUUUCCGCCCUUCAGUGCCGGAGCUAACGCAUUAAGCACUCCGCCUGGGGAGUACGACCGCAAGGUUGAAACUCAAAGGAAUUGACGGGGGCCCGCACAAGCGGUGGAGCAUGUGGUUUAAUUCGAAGCUACGCGAAGAACCUUACCAGGUCUUGACAUCUUGCGCCAACCCUAGAGAUAGGGCGUUUCCUUCGGGAACGCAAUGACAGGUGGUGCAUGGUCGUCGUCAGCUCGUGUCGUGAGAUGUUGGGUUAAGUCCCGCAACGAGCGCAACCCUUGUUACUAGUUGCCAGCAUUAAGUUGGGCACUCUAGUGAGACUGCCGGUGACAAACCGGAGGAAGGUGGGGACGACGUCAGAUCAUCAUGCCCCUUAUGACCUGGGCUACACACGUGCUACAAUGGACGGUACAACGAGUCGCGAACUCGCGAGGGCAAGCAAAUCUCUUAAAACCGUUCUCAGUUCGGACUGCAGGCUGCAACUCGCCUGCACGAAGUCGGAAUCGCUAGUAAUCGCGGAUCAGCAUGCCGCGGUGAAUACGUUCCCGGGCCUUGUACACACCGCCCGUCACACCAUGAGAGUUUGUAACACCCAAAGUCGGUGGGGUAACCUUUUAGGAGCCAGCCGCCUAAGGUGGGACAGAUGAUUAGGGUGAAGUCGUAACAAGGUAGCCGUAGGAGAACCUGCGGCUGGAUCACCUCCUUUCUAAGGAA
rnacentral:rRNA from 1 species